UACAGGGGGGGCAAGCGUUGUUCGGAAUUACUGGGCGUAAAGGGCUCGUAGGCGGCCAACUAAGUCAGACGUGAAAUCCCUCAGCUUAACUGGGGAACUGCGUCUGAUACUGGAUGGCUUGGAUUUGGGAGAGGAAUGCGGAAUUCCAGGUGUAGCGGUGAAAUGCGUAGAUAUCUGGAGGAACACCGGUGGCGAAGGCGGCAUUCUGGACCAAUAUUGACGCUGAGGAGCGAAAGCCAGGGGAGCAAACGGG
rnacentral:rRNA from 1 species